rnacentral:tRNA from 1 species
AAAAAUUUAAGUUAAAAAAACUAUUGACCUUCAAAGUCAAAGAUGGAAAAUUUUCCAAUUUUUA